rnacentral:lncRNA from 1 species
GCCAUCUAAUUUUAGGAAAAACUAGGAAACCAAUUAAAUGAUCUACGAAACCAUUAGAUUCUAAGUAAGGGGUUCAAGUGAUUCCGAAGGGAAGAUGUUAAGAAUCCUUCGAAAUCCACAAGUGUGGUUCCCAACUGAAUUCAUUUUUUUCAAAUUGAUGAAGAGAUGACACAAUAUACAAAUAAAACAAACAUGCAAUAUAUACAAAUAAUAAAGUAAAUCAAUAAUAUAAGAAACGGCUUUGCCUAACGUGAAUAAUACAAAAUAAUGAAUAAAGAAAGUUGUUCGAACUUCAUUCGAAUAGCUUCAAUGAGAAGCAAACAUGUGUACCUGUAAAGACACUUAGUAAAAGUGUUAGUAAUAAAUAAAUAUGAAUAAAAUAAAUAACAACUUAAAAUAAAAAUCCGUCUUAUUAACAUGGAAGACCUUGGAAAUCGACGGUAAUUUCUUCAUCGGCCAUUUUAACAUACAAAAUAUAUAAACUUAAACUAAAUUUCCGUCUUUUAACAAUGGAGAAGCCUCCAAAACUGACGGAGAGAUUUUCUCAUUGGUCAAUUUUAACAAACAAAACAUUAUAGGAAAGUAACAAUCAAAAAAUAAAAGAAAAAUCCCAGGCAAUUGCACCAACACCAACGAGUGAGAUACGGUCCUUAAAAUCCAAUGAUAACAAAUGUAUCCAAUAAAACAUUAAUAAAUGCUUAGUUAAAUUAAUAUUGACAAUAGAGAUGAUCCAGUAAAAUAAGAAUAAAACUCUACUAAAUGAAUUUACUACAUUGUUAAUGAAAAGUAUCAAAAAAAAUAAAAAUGACAACUACCAACUUUAUUUGACAAAAAUCACUAAACAAGUCAAAACUAAAUAUAAAAGACAAAACAACCAAAAUAAAAAAACAAAGGUUGCUGGAAACAUUUUGGAAAAAUGCAGAGACUUAAUUUAAAUAAAUUAAAUGCAACUGGAUAAGAACAAAUAUAACAAUAACAACUACAUUCCCAAAAAUCAUAAAAAAAAUUAGAGAUACUAAUGACCAUACACAACUCAAAACUCAAAACAACACUAACCUAAAUGAAUCAGUGAACCAUGAACACAAAUUUAGAGUAUCAAUUUAACAAAAUCUAACGAAUUUAGGGACUAAAGUGGAAAAUACCUGACCUAAAUCUGAAAUAAUGACGACCGGAGUUACUGAUUUUGAGAAAGCAACGGUGGUCCGACGGCGUCAACACCAUUGUUGGCGUGUUAGAGCUCGGAGUUGACGGCGUUCAUGAAUGCACCUACAACAGAAGCAGACCAUAAAGGGAAAGAGGGGAAGGGAAACAGUGAUGACCAUGGUUGGUCUUGGAUGGUUUCGCCGGAACUUUGGAGCUUCGUUUUGGUUCUAUUAUGAUGGUGGUUUCGAGUCAGGUUUGAGGAAGCAGCGAUGGCUAUUUUUUUAAGGCAGUUUGGGUCGUUUCCGGUGACUGUUUCACCGGAAAAUGGAUAAAAACGAAGGAUUUUUGGGUUUAGUUCGCUGGUCUGCUGGAAAGGGAGAAUCGUUGGGGUUUUGGGUCCGAUUUGUGGUGAUUUGGUGAUGGUUGUUGGUGGAAGAGGGGGCUGGUUUAAGGUGGCGUUUCAGGUGGUUAUUUUCUUGUUUGGUUGGCUGAUUUUAGAGCUUAGAGCUCGCGAUGGUCUGGAGUUUCGGGGUGGUUUGGUAUGCUUGUGGCUGCCGUUCGCCGGGGGUGGCGUUUGUGGUUGGUGUGGUUAGAAGAGAACAAGAGUAAAAUGGGUGUGUGAGGGAGAUCUGAUUUCUUCUUUUUUUUUUUUUGGGUGGCGGCUAUUUUGGAGGAUAGGAAUAAAUUUUAGAGUUUUUGUCAUUUAGGAAAUUCUUACCCCUUUCUAAAAAAAUAAUUCAC